UUCUAGCAAUGCAUUUUCUGCUGAUAUUGGGAUUUUUUGGUCUUGCUUUCCUCGGCCUGGGUCCUGUUAGAAGUGUGCCGGAGGACUUCUAUAUAGAGGAAUUGCUGCGUGCAAUGAACACUGAAAAUGACUCUAGUUCAGUAAGAGAGGAGUCUGAUUACUUUGAAAGCCCCUUGGAUACGUCAGAAAUGGAUUACUAUGGUUAAAAUUCUAGAUAAUGGAUUGUCAGCAUAAAGUAUAUGGUUAUGGCUAAGGAUUUUGUGAUUUUAAGUACAUUCUAAUGUAUUGAAAAGAAUGUGAUGCUAAUGAACUUAAAUGUUCUCUUGAAUUGAGGGCCAAGCGACUAUCUAACAAAAACGAGGAAGGGCGUGUGAGACGCUUCUUACGCGUCACAACUUUUAGACCCGGUAUUUAGUAGUACAUCUGCCGUUUAGUCGUUUUUUUUAAAUUUUUAAGUUUUAAAUUUAUGUAUAUCAACUACAUCUAUGUACAUCACUUCUCAUGCCAAAACGCUCUUUUAGUUCUAAUGUGAAAAAAAGAGCUGCUGGACGGGGUGGGUUUGGUCACUGCAGAUUAGUUUCUAUAUUCCGGCUAUAAUAAUGAUCCAAUAUAAUCCCAAUUCGAUAAUCGAAAAUGGUUCUUUCCUAUAUCCCUGGCUAUAUCGACUCGGCUAUUGAUGCUGAUCAAGAAUAUAUGUACUAUAUGGGGUCGGAAACGUUUCCUUCUGUGUGUUACAUACGUAAAUCAACUUUUAUGCACAAAUACAAUAUAACCUAGUUACUCUUCUAGUACCGGGU